UACGGAGGGAGCUAGCGUUGUUCGGAAUUACUGGGCGUAAAGCGCACGUAGGCGGCUUUGUAAGUUAGAGGUGAAAGCCUGGGGCUCAACUCCAGAAUUGCCUUUAAGACUGCAUCGCUUGAAUCAUGGAGAGGCGAGUGGAAUUCCUGGUGUAGCGGUGGAAUGCGCAGAUAUCAGGAGGAACACCAAUAGCGAAGGCAGCUCGCUGGGACGUUACUGACACUGAGGCGCGAAAGCGUGGGGAGCGAACAGG
rnacentral:rRNA from 1 species